UACUGCAUAUUGCUCAUGCGCGGGAACGCACUGAAUACUACGAAUAAUAUGUAAAUAAAAGCCAAAGCUAACACGGAAAUAAACACGGUGCAUUGUAUCUUGAAGUAAAGCAAGGAACACCCAGUGACAUCUGUGAACAGUUCUUGAUGACAAUGUUAUUCUUGACAACACUGCUUUCAAAGCACGUGUUCUCUCAAGUUAUAUUUAUUUUUAAACAUAAUUAUUAUCACACAACUCUGAUACUGGACCGCAUCCAGCUCACAUUUAUUUCGUACCUCAGGCAAUGCCCACCAAAUGAAUUCUCACACAAUCUUACGCCACAGUAAAGCGGAGCUUCAUUGCACAACAGUAAAAAACAAGAUCCGAGAUUACUAUAGUGGUCAAGAUGUUCAUGUUGGUCUUCAGGGUUGUAUUGCAGCCAAAAAAGAUAUCGUUUCUGACAUCUGAAUGGAAGUAGUUAUAUUCCUUCGGAAAAGAGAUAUUUACCUGCGAAUCCACAUACUGUACAAACACUAACAUAUUCCAAAAAAAAUUUACACAUACUCAUAAUGGUGGCACUCAUGUUACAUACAUUUUAUACAAAAUGCACCAUUCCCAACACGAUCAUCACACAUCUACCAAAUCCUUUCUGAAAUAACAUUUAACAACAAGUUUCUUUCACAGUUUACUCCAUACAGUUGUUGUUUCUUGGCUCUACAACCCGGUUGUGGGUUUUUGCCGCAGUGUCAUACAGUGCAAACUUUUAAAUCUGAGAUACUACCAGUUUCAAAUCACUACCUGCAAUAUUAUCUAUAAAACAAAAUAUGUCUCCCCAAUUUCUUUCCAUCAUCCCUGCCUGGUGAUAGGGCUUACUAAGAAAUCAUAUAUGGAUAAAGUUAUCAACGUCCACCACAUGUCACCCCCUAAGAAACCAAAUAUAAUUUAUUGCUUAUAGUGAUCAAUUUAUUUUACAUUUACAAGCAUAAUAUCAUGUAGCACAAACACAAUAAAUAAUAGAUAUAUGA